rnacentral:lncRNA from 1 species
UUUAGGUGGCGUUUGGUUAUGUGGUUAUCCCUUAGUUGGCUAGGAUAGCCACUUUUUGGGUAGUUGUCGAGCGUUUGGUUGAGAGAUGGUUAGGAAUAUAGGCAAUUAAGAUUCUCAGAAUAUCCUCUUAAAACGUGGUUGAGCUUAUCCGUAAAAAUCUCACGGAUAGUGGCAGCCACCCACGCUCAGCGACCUCCCGAGGCAACGAAAUGUUUUUUUCUUCUCG